rnacentral:rRNA from 1 species
GAUCAUGGCUCAGGAUGAACGCUAGCGGCAGGCUUAACACAUGCAAGUCGAGGGGCAGGCGGGGUGUAGCAAUACAUCGCCGGCGACCGGCGCACGGGUGCGUAGCACGUAUGGAAUCUGCCCUUUACGUGGGGGAUAGCCCGGAAGAAAUCCGGAUUAACUACCCCAUAACAAGCGAGGUGGCAUCAUCUUGCUUUGAAAGCUCCGGCGGUAAAGGAUGACCAUGCGCCCGAUUAGCUAGUUGGUGAGGUAAUGGCUCACCAAGGCUACGAUCGGUAGGGGGCCUGAGAGGGUUAUCCCCCCACACUGGUACUGAGACACGGACCAGACUCCUACGGGAGGCAGCAGUGAGGAAUAUUGCGCAAUGGAGGCAACUCUGACGCAGCCAUGCCGCGUGCAGGAAGAAGGCGCUACGCGUUGUAAACUGCUUUUAUCCGGGAAGAAACCCCAGGACGUGUCCUGGGUUGACGGUACCGGAGGAAUAAGCACCGGCUAACUUCGUG